UGAGGAAUAUUGGUCAAUGGACGAGAGUCUGAACCAGCCAAAUCGCGUGAAGGAAGACUGCCCUACGGGUUGUAAACUUCUUUUGUACAGGAAUAAAAGACAUUACGUGUAAUGUAUUGCAUGUACUGUACGAAUAAGCAUCGGCUAACUCCGUGCCAGCAGCCGCGGUAAUACGGAGGAUGCGAGCGUUAUCCGGAUUUAUUGGGUUUAAAGGGUGCGCAGGCGGGAUUUUAAGUCAGCGGUGAAAUUUUCAGGCUCAACCUGAACCAUGCCGGUGAAACUUGGAUUCUUGAGUAUGGGUGGAGGAGGGGGAAUUCGUUGGGGAGCGGUGAACUGCUUAGAUAUUACGAGGGACCCCGAUUGCGUAGGCAGGUUAAUAAGGCAUAAAUGACGCUUAAGCACGAAAGCGUGGGGAUCAAACAG
rnacentral:rRNA from 1 species